UUAAGUAAGUUGUAUUAUACUACAUCUUACUAAGCUGUUUUUAAUAAGCUGUCUUCUAUUAUGUUAUUUGAAGAAGUAAACGUUUAUUCAGCCGUAAGUUGUUUUCUAAUAAGCACAACUGCAAAUUGUUGGUAUAGUUGUUACCUAGCUAGCUAGCAUUGCUACAGAGAACCUACACUAACAACUGCUAGCUACACAAGGACCUCUGGACCAGGUGUUCUUCAGGGCUUUAACAUUUUUCACCAUUCUCCUGUGACUCUUCAAUAGCCAGUCACGCCAACUGAAGUACCACUAAAGGACAUAUGAAGGGAGGAGUUCAGCACUCACUGCGCUGGUGACUGACAGGAAGCGGUCAUAGCUGAUGAGGACGAUGCUGAAGACUGACGCGGAGCAAAGCAGGUAGUCCAUUACCAGCCACAGCUUACACAGUCCUCUGCCCAGUGUCCACCUUCCAGUCAGGAUGUAGGGGAUGUAUACCGGGAUGCAGAAUGCUCCUGAAUGCAGGAGUGCUUUUUUGUUAGAACAGGCGGUUAACAUGUGUGCAAAAGUAACACAAUACUUAAGUUUAAAUAAAGGUAAUUCUAGGUACAGCACUAAUGAGAUCCUUUACCAACUGUUGCAAAAUG